AUAGAUAUAGAAAUUGCGUCGACAAUGAAAUUGAUUUAUAACUAAUUGAUAUAUAUAUUAUUUUUUAUUAUUUCUUAAUGUAAUUUUGGAUGCUCGGAGAUUUUGAACUAAAUUUGGAGAGGCCACCGAAAAAACCAAUGUUUAAGAAAAAUAAUGUUUUCUUUCUAGUUGCUACCCAGGGUCAGUAGCAAUUAAGUAUAAUAUUUAAUUAAACCGGGAAACUAAUAUAUUAAUAAUUACAAAACUAUUUGCUUCUUUAGGACUGUGGAAGUUAAGGUUCCUGUAUAUUGAUUUGGAUUGGUUCCAAAUUUAUUAUAUUCAAAAAGAGCAAGGGAAGAAAUAUUUAAAAUUUUCGGCAUGAUUUUGAUUAGAAAUGUCAGAGAUAAAGUAUAAAAAUCAAAUUUUAGCUGCAAUUGAUCAUCUACGUGCUCGAAAGUCCAGACCAGAUAUAGGAAGAAUUUGUAAAUUUAUGCUCAAAUGUUACAAAGUAGCACCAAAAGAUACAAAAACUGAUUUGAAACGUUGUAUAAAGGAAAAAAGUAUUUAUAAAGUUGAUUACAAGGAUAAUGUAAGCUAUAGAAACGCAGCAAAGUGGAGAAAAAAGUCUACACAAAACAAUACAAUGAGUUUAACAGUCGCAACAAGUGAGCGACGAAUAAUUACAUCUGCAAUUGCUACUUUAAUUUAUCAAGACCAAAGUUACUUAGAAAAUGGGAUUGCAUUUGAUGAACUUGUAAAAGUAGCAGCAUCGCAGGAUCCUAAAUACACCAAGAAGCAACUUGAAGCAAUAAUUAACAAAGAAUUGUCUUCUGGUAGUCUUGUAAAACUACCAAAUGGAUCUUUAGCUUUGGGUCCAGCUGAUCAUGAUGGUGACAGUUCAGAUAGUUUCAAAUUUGAUUACAAUGAUUCGAACACUAAGAUGACAUCUUCAGCAAAUUCUUCAUGCAGAUCAUCUCCACAGCGCACUAGAGGACGUCCAAGAAAAAGACCUGGUCAAGUUACAAGCAGCCAAAAUUCAAAUCAUAACCAAAACUCUGUUGUUAGAGUAGGAGAAAGGAGAAAAAUGGCAAAAAAAGUUUUUGAUCCAUCUGAUAACAAUGUUCCAAGUAAAAGAAAAAGAGGAAGACCUGUGGGUUCAUUAAAUAAAAGCACUAUAAAAAAAAGGAUGAUGAUUGCUGGUAAAGUAGAUAAAGAAGGUACCCCAUUGUCGGAAAGCCAGCAGUCAAUAGAUGGUAGCGGGGAUGAAAUAGACAGGGAUGAAACAAACCUUACUGAAACUGAAACUUCUGUAGGGGUUUGCUCCGUCUGCUUAGUACAGAAGUCACGUGGAAACAGUGAUCUUUUAGUGGAGUGCAGAGAUUGUAACAAUAAAGCCCACUUAAGUUGCCUUCAGUCUGGCUCAGGGAUUCUUAAACCACGUCCAGACAACACUUGGCAAUGUCCACAUUGUAAAACAUGUGCAGUCUGUUGUGAAACCAAUGAUGCCGGUAUAUUAACUGUGUGCAGUAUAUGUUCUGAUGCGUACCAUGCUCUAUGCCAUUCACCACGAAUACCCGAGAGACUAAAAGCCUGGGACCAGUGGGAAUGUACUAAUUGCUUAGAAUCCAGACCAUCGAUUGAUAAACCAGUACAAAUUAUUCCAAAUAUUGAAUUUUGUACAAAAAAUUCAUCAACAAUUGAUCCGUUUUUAAAGCCUCAUGAAAUUGAUAGAGCUGCAGCUAAGAUUGCAGAUAAAGUACCUAUGGACCCCAAUGUACCAGACAUAACUAAUUGGAAUGUUGAUGAUGUGUAUGAUUAUUUUAUGGAACAUUUGUCUGAAGCUGCACCGAUUUUACGAGAUCAGGAGUUUGAUGGACAAGCAAUAAGUAUGGCCCGGAGAGCAGACAUCGUGAGGGGACUAGGCCUUCCUCUAGGACCGGCACUGGCAUUAUAUCGGAUUAUUGUUAAGUUACAGACUAGAAAGGAUGAUUGGAGGAUGUGUUGGGGAUAAACAAUUUGAACCAUAAGAUAAGAGUGAUAUAUUGUUAAGCACAAAAGCAUACUCAUAGCUUCUAUACUUCAGUGUUUUACAUGUUGAAUGAUAAUGUCCUCUGUAAUAUGACGAAGAGAACUGGAGAGGAGUAGGAUCAUUGAUGUUUUGCCAGCCAUGAAGCCAAUAGACACUAUGAUGACGCCAUACUAUCGUUAAUAUCACUAAGGUCCCAAAUAAAUGCGAAUGCAAUCCCUAGGAUUUGUAGUGGAGAAAGAAUAGUGCGUGGAGUGGGAUUUCCACCUUGGCUAACAAACAAAACAGGAAUACUGAUACUUUUAUCAAA